rnacentral:rRNA from 1 species
CCUACGGGUGGCAGCAGUGGGGAAUAUUGGACAAUGGUGGGAACCCUGAUCCAGCGACGCCGCGUGAGUGAAGAAGUAUCUCGGUAUGUUAAGCUCUAUCAGCAGGGAAGAAAAUGACGGUACGUGACUAAGAAGCCCCGGCUAACUACGUGACAGGAGGCGCGGUAAUACGUCGGGGGCAGGCGUAAUCCGGAUUUACUGGGUGUAAAGGGGGCGUAGGCGGUGCAGCAAGUCUGAUGUGAAAGGUCGGGGCCCAACCCCGGGACUGCAUUGGAAACUGUUGAACUGGAGUACGGGAGAGGUAAGCGGAAUUCCUGGUGUAGCGGUGAAAUGCGUAGAUAUUAGGAAGAACACCAGUGGCGAAGGCGGCAUACUGGACUGUAACUGACGUUGAGGCUCGAAAGCGUGGGGAGCGAACAGGAUUAGAUACCCCUGUAGUC